UACGAAAGGGGGCUAGCGUUGCUCGGAAUCACUGGGCGUAAAGGGCGCGUAGGCGGCCUGAGUAAGUCGGGGGUGAAAGCCUGUGGCUCAACCACAGAAUUGCCUUCGAUACUGUUGGGCUUGAGACCGGAAGAGGUAAGUGGAACUGCGAGUGUAGAGGUGAAAUUCGUAGAUAUUCGCAAGAACACCAGUGGCGAAGGCGGCUUACUGGUCCGGAUCUGACGCUGAGGCGCGAAAGCGUGGGGAGCAAACAGG
rnacentral:rRNA from 1 species